UUUUUUUUAAUUGUCAGGUUCUCUCCGAACUGGAAGAUCUUCAUCACAAACAUCCCCAGAGCUCCAGAUGAGUUGUUCAGGAUUCAUCGUAAUGUAAAUCGGCCCGGCGCCUCAGGAGACGGCGGGAAAAUUCACUUCAAGCCACAAUCAGAGACAAAAACAUGGGAAAACAAAACAACAGAAUAGCAUUUGCAUAGAAAAAUGAGCAUCCUGGCACAAGGGAACCGAAACAAUCAUAUCAAAAAAUGAGUUUAUGUCGUAAAAAAAAUGAGUUUGAUCCAUCGGAUGUGAGCCGUGAUUAACAUCUCCCUCGUGUUUGGUAAAAAAUAGAAAAAUAAAACGAUAUAA